UACGGAGGGUGCGAGCGUUGUCCGGAAUCAUUGGGCGUAAAGGGCGCGUAGGUGGCCCGGUCAGUUCGUGGUGAAAGCGCGGGGCUCAACCCUGCGUCGGCCAUGAAUACUGCCGCGGCUGGAGCACUGUAGAGGCAGGCGGAAUUCCGGGUGUAGCGGUGGAAUGCGUAGAGAUCCGGAAGAGCACCGGUGGCGAAGGCGGCCUGCUGGGCAGUUGCUGACACUGAGGCGCGACAGCGUGGGGAGCAAACAGG
rnacentral:rRNA from 1 species